UACGAAGGGGCUAGCGUUGCUCGGAAUCACUGGGCGUAAAGCGCACGUAGGCGGAUUGUUAAGUCAGGGGUGAAUCCUGGAGCUCAACUCCAGAACUGCCUUGAUACUGGCGAUCUCGAGUCCGGGAGAGGUGAGUGGAACUGCGAGUGUAGAGGUGAAAAUUCGUAGAUAUUCGCAAAGAACACCAGUGGCGAAGGCGGACUCACUGGCCCGGUACUGACGCUGAGGUGC
rnacentral:rRNA from 1 species